rnacentral:rRNA from 1 species
CACGUAGGGGACGAGCGUUGUCCGGAUUCAUUGGGCGUAAAGCGCGCGUAGGCGGCUCGGAAAGUCGGUCGUGAAAUGCCGGGGCUCAACCCCGGGACUGCGUCCGAUACUCCCGAGCUGGAGGCAGGUAGGGGAGAUCGGAAUUCCUGGUGUAGCGGUGAAAUGGCGCAGAUAUCAGGAAGAACACCAAUGGCGAAGGCAGCUCUCUGGGACGGUACUGACGCUGAGACGCGAAAGCGUGGGGAGCGAACAGG